AACGCGAAGAACCUUACCUGGGCUCGAAAUGUACAGGAAUGCGGUAGAAAUAUCGCCGUCCAGCAAUGGACCUGUAUAUAGGUGCUGCAUGGCUGUCGUCAGCUCGUGUCGUGAGAUGUUGGGUUAAGUCCCGCAACGAGCGCAACCCUUAUCCCUAGUUGCCAUCGGGUCAAGCCGGGCACUCUAGUGAAACCGCCCAGGAUAACUGGGAGGAAGGUGGGGAUGACGUCAAGUCCUCAUGGCCUUUAUGUCCAGGGCUACACACGUGCUACAAUGGUCGGUACAAACCGUCGCAAACCCGCGAGGGGGAGCUAAUCGGAAAAAGCCGGCCUCAGUUCGGAUUGGAGUCUGCAACCCGACUCCAUGAAGCUGGAAUCGCUAGUAAUCGCGGAUCAGAACGCCGCGGUGAAUACGUUCCCGGGCCUUGUACAACCGACUGUAC
rnacentral:rRNA from 1 species